CUAAAGCCUAGUGAAGCACUCCCAAGGCCCCUGGCUAUAGCUUAUUCUCCUCUGACCUUUCUGCGGAGUUGGCUUGUGUCCUUGGGGGAAACUCUGGGGACGUGUCUCUGGUUCAUGGGCUUUCCAGAGGAUAGAGAGAAGCUGUUGGCAUUGGCCAUUAGGAAUUUGUCAGCUCGCCUUGGAGAAAUCAGUUGUGGGUCAAACUCUGGGCUUACCUCUGGUCACUUGGAUGCAAAUCCUGACUCUGCGAUUUGUUUCCAACCUGUGUGUCUAUGGGAGAGUCGUUUCACCUUUUGAAGCCUCAUCAGGAAAACAGGAAUUAUGACCCCCAACACACAGGCUUGGUGUGAAAAUCCAAGGAGGGUGUCUGGCACUGUGGGAGCUGCUUAUCCAGUGAAAUAAUGAAUCAACACAUACCUGCAACCCCAGAAACCAGGAUUUUCUUUCAGCUCUUAGGCCAUGAAAUUCUCAAGGCAUAAACAGGACGAUACCUGGACUCUGAAUACAAGCUGCCUGCAUCUGGGACUCCCCUGUCACAUGGCGAUGGCCCCAAGAGCUCCCCUGUUUCCUUGGUCCUUGACUUAAGACAGCAGCAGAGAGGAACAAACAUCCAAAGGAAGCUUGAUGCCGACUAUCUCAUUUAAUAAACCCAAUGUGUGAAGGAAAUAUUUUUGCUACUUUAUUGUUGCGGAAAGUUAAAUAAGUUGUCCAGGUCAAGCAGUU